GACGAACGCUGGCGGCGUGCUUAACACAUGCAAGUCGAACGAAGAGCGACGGAAGCUUGCUUCUAUCAAUCUUAGCGGCGAACGGGUGAGUAACGCGUAAUCAACCUGCCCUUCAGAGGGGGACAACAGUUGGAAACGACUGCUAAUACCGCAUACGAUCUAAUCUCGGCAUCGAGGAUGGAUGAAAGGUGGCCUCUACAUGUAAGCUAUCACUGAAGGAGGGGAUUGCGUCUGAUUAGCUAGUUGGAGGGGUAACGGCCCACCAAGGCGAUGAUCAGUAGCCGGUCUGAGAGGAUGAACGGCCACAUUGGGACUGAGACACGGCCCAGACUCCUACGGGAGGCAGCAGUGGGGAAUCUUCCGCAAUGGACGAAAGUCUGACGGAGCAACGCCGCGUGAGUGAUGACGGCCUUCGGGUUGUAAAGCUCUGUUAAUCGGGACGAAAGGCCUUCUUGCGAAUAGUGAGAAGGAUUGACGGUACCGGAAUAGAAAGCCACGGCUAACUACGUG
rnacentral:rRNA from 1 species